GGUGAACGCUGGCGGUAGGCCUAACAUAUGCAAGUCGAACGGCAGCACAGUAAGAGCUUGCUCUUACGGGUGGCGAGUGGCGGACGGGUGAGGAAUACAUCGGAAUCUACUUUUUCGUGGGGGAUAACGUAGGGAAACUUACGCUAAUACCGCAUACGACCUACGGGUGAAAGCAGGGGAUCUUCGGACCUUGCGCGAUUGAAUGAGCCGAUGUCGGAUUAGCUAGUUGGCGGGGUAAAGGCCCACCAAGGCGACGAUCCGUAGCUGGUCUGAGAGGAUGAUCAGCCACACUGGAACUGAGACACGGUCCAGACUCCUACGGGAGGCAGCAGUGGGGAAUAUUGGACAAUGGGCGCAAGCCUGAUCCAGCCAUACCGCGUGGGUGAAGAAGGCCUUCGGGUUGUAAAGCCCUUUUGUUGGGAAAGAAAAGCAGCAGGUUAAUACCCCGCUGUUCUGACGGUACCCAAAGAAUAAGCACCGGCUAACUUCGUG
rnacentral:rRNA from 1 species